ACCAUAGACAUCAAAAUACCAUAGACAGCAACGGAUGAAAAUCUUAAUUAUGUUGCCGAGGCAUUAUUGAUAUAUUGAACAAUUUAAACUGUUUUUUAUAUUUUUUAAUAAUGUUCAAAGGCAAUUAAUCAUUCGGUUAAUUGCUUUUCUUUUCAAAAG
rfam:Spiroplasma syrphidicola EA-1, complete genome.